AUCAAAAAGCAUCUAGUUAACUGUAUAAAAUAAUAUACCACAUAAUGUCAAAAGGACACUUAUAUAAUAAUAUAUUUUUAAAACACAUUUGGUAUAGUGAUAUGUCUUAUAUAAAUACCCCUAAAUAGAGAAUGCUUAGAAUACCACUUACUAUUAUAUUGCACUUGCAUAUAAAAACUCUUUAAGUUAACUAUGUCUUCCUCUCUUGUGACUUCUAUCAAUACUCGUCCAAAGUGCCAUUGUGGCACAGAUUCGGUGUGUCGAACUUCAAGGAGUGAAGAGAACCCUGGUAGAAGAUUUUGGGGGUGUGGAAACUAUGAUCGAGAUUCUUGUAAGGUAUGUCAUUUUUUCGAGUGGGUGGAUCCAGAUGUUCUGGUUGGAGCUAAUGUAGUAUUGCAGAGGUUGGAAAGAAAAAUUGAGGACCAAAGUAAAGAGAUCAAGUUACUUAAGAAAUUUGUGUUAUUCCUAAUUUGUGUUGAACUAAUAAAAUUAUUGUUGUAUUGAAAAUGUAUAACUAAUCCAUGAUAUGAGUGUUUUUCUUAUUAAACUUAUGUAAUCAGUAGUUUGAGUUAAUAUGUUGUAAUGUAUAAUUAAUAUCAUGGAUUCUUAUUAUAA